rnacentral:rRNA from 1 species
UCUCCUGGAAACGGGUGGUAAUGCCGGAUGCUCCAGUUGAUCGCAUGGUCUUCUGGGAAAGCUUUCGCGGUAUGGGAUGGGGUCGCGUCCUAUCAGCUUGACGGCGGGGUAACGGCCCACCGUGGCUUCGACGGGUAGCCGGCCUGAGAGGGCGACCGGCCACAUUGGGACUGAGAUACGGCCCAGACUCCUACGGGAGGCAGCAGUGGGGAAUAUUGCACAAUGGGCGCAAGCCUGAUGCAGCGACGCCGCGUGAGGGAUGGAGGCCUUCGGGUUGUAAACCUCUUUUAUCGGGGAGCAAGCGAGAGUGAGUUUACCCGUUGAAUAAGCACCGGCUAACUACGUGCCAGCAGCCGCGGUAAUACGUAGGGUGCAAGCGUUAUCCGGAAUUAUUGGGCGUAAAGGGCUCGUAGGCGGUUCGUCGCGUCCGGUGUGAAAGUCCAUCGCUUAACGGUGGAUCCGCGCCGGGUACGGGCGGGCUUGAGUGCGGUAGGGGAGACUGGAAUUCCCGGUGUAACGGUGGAAUGUGUAGAUAUCGAAAAAAAACACCA